CAGCAGCCGCGGGAAUACGUAGGGUGCGAGCGUUAAUCGGAAUUACUGGGCGUAAAGCGUGCGCAGGCGGUUAUAUAAGACAGAUGUGAAAUCCCCGGGCUCAACCUGGGACCUGCAUUUGUGACUGUAUAGCUAGAGUACGGUAGAGGGGGAUGGAAUUCCGCGUGUAGCAGUGUAAUGCGUAGAUAUGCGGAGGAACACCGAUGGCGAAGGCAAUCCCCUGGACCUGUACUGACACUCAUGCACGAAAGCGUGGGGAGCAAACAGGAUUAGAUACCCCUGUAGUCCCUGUCUCUUAUAC
rnacentral:rRNA from 1 species